rnacentral:sRNA from 1 species
GCCGGGCACGGUGGUGCAUGCCUGUAAUUCCAGGAACUUGGGAGGCUGAGGCAAGAGGAUGGCAAGUUUGAGGCCAGCCUCAGCAAAUUCGUGAGACCCUGUCUCAA